rnacentral:rRNA from 1 species
GACGUAGGGGGCGAGCGUUGUCCGGAAUCAUUGGGCGUAAAGAGCGUGUAGGUGGACUGGAAGGUCUGGUGUGAAAGCCCGGGGCUCAACCCCGGAGGGUCACCGGAAACCGACAGUCUUGAGUCCGGAAGAGGAGAGUGGAAUUCCUGGUGUAGCGGUGGAAUGCGCAGAUAUCAGGAGGAACACCAAUGGCGAAGGCAGCUCUCUGGUACGUGACUGAC